AGAGACAUUUUGGACAAUUGC
rnacentral:miRNA from 1 species